GUGGGGAAUAUUGCGCAAUGGGCGAAAGCCUGACGCAGCGACGCCGCGUGAGGGAUGAAGGUUUUCGGAUCGUAAACCUCUGUCAGAAGGGAAGAAACUACAUUGUGCUAAUCAGCAGUGUACUGACGGUACCUUCAAAGGAAGCACCGGCUAACUCCGUGCCAGCAGCCGCGGUAAUGCGGAGGGUGCAAGCGUUAAUCGGAAUUACUGGGCGUAAAGCGCACGUAGGCUGUAGUGUAAGUCAGGGGUGAAAUCCCACGGCUCAACCGUGGAACUGCCUUUGAUACUGCACAACUUGAAUCCGGGAGAGGGUGGCGGAAUUCCAGGUGUAGGAGUGAAAGCCGUAGAUAUCUGGAGGAACAUCAGUGGCGAAGGCGGCCACCUGGACCGGUAUUGACGCUGAGGUGCGAAAGCGUGGGGAGCAAACAGGAUUAGAUACCCGUGUAGUCC
rnacentral:rRNA from 1 species